AAUGAACGCUGGCGGCGUGCCUAACACAUGCAAGUCGCACGAGAACGUUUCAGCUUGCUGAGACUAUUAAAGUGGCGCACGGGUGAGUAACGCGUGGGUAAUCUACCUCCGAAUUGGGGAUAACACUGCGAAAGCGGUGCUAAUACCGAAUGAUAUCCCUGAGACUCUGGUCUUGGUGAUCAAAGGUGGCCUCUACAUGUACGCUACGGUUUGGAGAUGAGCCCGCGUACCAUUAGCUUGUUGGUAGGGUAAUGGCCUACCAAGGCUUCGAUGGUUAGCUGGUCUGAGAGGAUGAUCAGCCACACUGGAACUGACACACGGUCCAGACUCCUACGGGAGGAAGCAGUGAGGAAUUUUGCGCAAUGGGGGAAACCCUGACGCAGCAACGCCGCGUGAGUGAUGAAGGCUUUCGGGUCGUAAAGCUCUGUCAAGUGGGAAGAACCUGUUUCGUGCUAAUACCACGAAGCACUGACGGUACCACUGAAGGAAGCACCGGCUAACUCCGUGCCAGCAGCCGCCGUAACAC
rnacentral:rRNA from 1 species